UACGUAGGUGGCAAGCGUUGUUCGGAAUUAUUGGGCGUAAAGGACGCGCAGGCGGCCCGAGGGGUCUGUCGUUAAAGCCCGGGGCUCAACCCCGGGUGGUCGGCGGAGACCGGCGGGCUUGGAGGCCGGUAGAGGGAUGCGGAAUUCCCGGUGUAGUGGUGAAAUGCGUAGAGAUCGGGAGGAACACCAGAGGCGAAAGCGGCAUCCUGGGCCGGGCCUGACGCUGAGGCGUGAAAGCGUGGGGAGCGAACCGG
rnacentral:rRNA from 1 species